rnacentral:rRNA from 1 species
CCCGGGCGCGGCCUAACCAUGCAAGUCGAGCGGUAGCACAGAGAGCUUGCUCUCGGGUGACGAGCGGCGGACGGGUGAGUAAUGUCUGGGAAACUGCCUGAUGGAGGGGGAUAACUACUGGAAACGGUAGCUAAUACCGCAUAACGUCGCAAGACCAAAGAGGGGGACCUUCGGGCCUCUUGCCAUCAGAUGUGCCCAGAUGGGAUUAGCUAGUAGGUGGGGUAAUGGCUCACCUAGGCGACGAUCCCUAGCUGGUCUGAGAGGAUGACCAGCCACACUGGAACUGAGACACGGUCCAGACUCCUACGGGAGGCAGCAGUGGGGAAUAUUGCACAAUGGGCGCAAGCCUGAUGCAGCCAUGCCGCGUGUAUGAAGAAGGCCUUCGGGUUGUAAAGUACUUUCAGCGAGGAGGAAGGCAUUGUGGUUAAUAACCGCAGUGAUUGACGUUACUCGCAGAAGAAGCACCGGCUAACUCCGUGCCAGCAGCCGCGGUAAUACGGAGGGUGCAAGCGUUAAUCGGAAUUACUGGGCGUAAAGCGCACGCAGGCGGUCUGUCAAGUCGGAUGUGAAAUCCCCGGGCUCAACCUGGGAACUGCAUUCGAAACUGGCAGGCUAGAGUCUUGUAGAGGGGGGUAGAAUUCCAGGUGUAGCGGUGAGAUGCGUAGAGAUCUGGAGGAAUACCGGUGGCGAAGGC